rnacentral:rRNA from 1 species
AUUGAACGCUGGCGGCAGGCCUAACACAUGCAAGUCGAACGAGUGGCGGACGGGUGAGUAAUGCCUGGGAAUCUGCCUUAUGGAGGGGGAUAACUACUGGAAACUGUAGCUAAUACCGCAUACCAUCAGAUGUGCCCAAGUGGGAUUAGGUAGUUGGUGGGGUAAAGGCUCACCAAGGCGACGAUCCCUAGCUGGUCUGAGAGGAUGACCAGCCACAAUGGAACUGAGACACGGCCCAGACUCCUACGGGAGGCAGCAGUGGGGAAUAUUGCGCAAUGGGGGCAAGCCUGACGCAGCCAUGCCGCGUGUAUGAAGAAGGCCUUCGGGUUGUAAAGUACUUUCGGCGGGGAGGCGUUACCCACAGAAGAAGCACCGGCUAACUCCGUGCCAGCAGCCGCGGUAAUAC